GGACCAGCUGCGCGCCUGGCUGCCGGCCUGGCCCCGGGUCGAGCGUCGGUCGCCAGGCCCUGGGCUGGCGGGAAGGUGAGGGCUGGCUGGUGGGGGGGGGGCGGGUAAGGUCCCCUGCAAGGCCUGCCCGGGCCCCGUCGCACGAAGCCGGCCCUUCGCCCAGCCCGGGAGGGCUGCGGGCACCGCCUGCAGCGGCGCUGGGAGGAAAAAAAAGCCUUUCCUGAAGGGUCCCAGUGCUUUCCCGCUUCCUCCCCAUCUGCUUGGGAUGGUGCAAGAACUGUAUUCUCUCAAGCCCUAAGUCAAGUCUGCUGGCUUCUCUCUGCUCCAGAGGCUACUUUUGUGCAGAGUCAGACCUGAAACAAGGCAAAUGAAGGGGUGGAAUUGUUGGCCAGUUGUCAUCAGUACCCACAAGCCAUUAACCUGGUGCAUGGACUCUCUGGAACAUGGUGCUGUGACUUUUUGAGAGCAGGAUCCCAGCAGAUGAAGAAGAAGAAACAUGGCACUAUGGAGAUUUCUUCACUGAGAUACAGAGAGCACCUUGUCAUCACAGCUGCCCUUGAAGUUGGGUAAUUCACAGCUACACCUGAAGUUGGCCUUUCAUUCGUCGUCGCUUCUCAUUUUGGAAAACUUUAAGCUAAAUGAACCCUGGACCAAAUGGAAGAGAAUUGCCUCCUAAUGCCGGGAUGCUAAACUGCGGCGGUGGAUGGUUGAACAGGAAGAGGCGGCCGGCUAUUGAGCCUUCGAGCUUCACAGAAGGAAGAGCUGAGGUGGAGAAGUGGGGCUGGUAGAAGAGGAGCAGAGGGUGCCCGAGCAGCACCGUACAGCCAACCAAGGGCGAGCAAAGGGAUGGCAGCACAGCCUGUGAAGAACCAGUACAUCUGGAAACUGCAAUAAGUAGGUAGGAAAUCCUGUUGAUCCAUGAAGGGGUUUUAUUGUUUUGUCUCAAAGCCAAGCACGACUGGAAAAGCAACUGUCCUAAGCAGAGCUGUUGUAAAAGGGCACUGGAGGCUUUGCUGCCCGAGCUGGCACAUGGGCUGCACGCAGCUUGAGGAGGAGGAGGAGGGAAAUGGCUGUGUUGCUGUGUCACAGCAUUACGUGUGUCUGAGCUUACCUGCCUGAGACCCCUCUGGCUGACCACCUGGAGUUAAAUCAAAGGAGGCCACGGAGAGACAGGAGAGAGGAGGGAAUGACACAAUGAUGGCCACAGAGCCUGAUAUCACCGACGGGCCUUCAGGGGAUUGCUGGGGAGCAAGACAUCCUUUAUUGGACCGGCCGUUACCACCUUUCCCCACAAACCUCAUCUCCCCUGCUUCCUUAGACUGCCGUGGCUGCAGCAUCCCUGCUGGAGCACCCCUGAGGUACCUGAGGGCAGGAGUGAGCACCCGUGGGAGAGGCUGCCGUGGGGAGAGCCAGCCCAGGUGCACCACACUCCAGAGCCAUCUUCCCACUGAAACCGGCCAGGCGGCUGUGACUGAAAUUUAAUUUGCCUGGUGCGUUCAGUGGACAUUUUAAUCAGCAUUUCCUACAAUCUACUUGGCAAAGAGGCUCAACUGGCAGCUGCCUGACUGAAUGGGCUUUGCACCCAGUCUAACCUUCCCCAUUCGCAAUUUCCAGUGCUGGAAAACCUCUCUGUCUCGCUCUCAGAAGUUUCUAUAGCAAUCACGGCCGUCCUAGCGAAGCACUGAAAAUGGCAGCCCAUUCAGAUUGUAAUUUUGCUGGACAGUAAUUGCUCCUCUCUCCAUUGGCCACUGAAACGUUACUUUUUGGGAGAUAUCAACCACAACUGGAGACUGGUCCUCUGUCUGUGUUUUCAACAAACUUCACUCCCCCCUCAACUAACUUUUUAGCUGUUUGUGGUGUGUUUGAACCGUGACCAACAGGGAAGCGUUGCUGGGCACAUCACACCUCGGCUACAGGGAAGACCUGAUGUGAAUGAUGCUCUUAACAAGCCUGCAGGGAAAAACCUCACCGCCCAACACGACACGUUGUGACUCAAACAUCAUCCAUCACUAUCCAAAAAGCGACAACUGCAAGAACGGCAUCUUCAAUCCCUGCAAAGACCUGUGGAAGGCGGCUGUCUCGUUAUACCCAAAAUACUGCAAUUGUUCCCUUGAUCUGUGCAAAGUACUGUUCAGUUUGCAUUUCUGUGAGCCGGGAGACAGUCCGCUGAAAGGCAAAGAUUUCCUCUUCUCCUGUGAACAUGGAGAGUCCUUUGGCAGAAUCCUACAUUAAUACACAAAAACGGAACAAGCUUUGGAGAGGAGUCGCUGCAGAACAAAUAAUACGCACCUGAGAGAAGGAAAACAGGCAACAAAAUCACCACUUGGGCUUUGCAGAAAAGGGACAAAAGACGUGUUUUAUGAAAAGCAAACUUCAAAUUACAACCUUGUUUUUUUCUCCAGGCUCCCAGACACUACUAUGGACUUAAACAGAAACCAAGAAACUAAUCAUCAUCAGGGCCAACAGCAACAGCACUGUGCAGCACCUCUAAAAAAAAAAAUUUCAUCUGGACAACGAAUAGCUGAACUUGAAUUUUUUUUGAUGAAAUAGAGCAUGAAAAGGUUAAAGAAAGUGAAAGGAAGUGGUGGAUGGAAACAUUAGAGAGCAAGCCCACUGCGUAUCUCACCAUCAGACACAAGUAAGAACCAGCUGGGCAACAGUCAUAUCAAGUGCAAAAGAAAACAACGGAAGCACUAAAUACUGCGAUGCUGCUGGUGGUUUUAAGAUUGGUGAGAGAAGAUACAAUGCUGUGAUAAACCAUCAGCAUGAAGAAUAUCAUCUGCAAAAAUGAAAUCAAGAUCACAAAACUGAAGUCUCCUUUACAACUAUCGAAGCAAAGAACUAAGCUGGAAAUCAUUCACGGAUUCAAAACAAAAAAGUAACCAUUCUCCAAAGCCCAUCAGCUAGAAAAUUAAUAUAGAUUGGAAGCACGAGCAAUUAAAUGAGGGGCUCUAGACCUAUUUUAAACCUCCAACUUCUCUGCAAAGAUACACAGCUGAAGAAAGAAGGUGAAAAGAAAUCAUCCUGAAAGCACAGAAUCCCAAGAAAAUCCACGUAUCUUUAAUUCUGGCAGAUGGCUCUGUUCAGGAAAGCGCUCCAGCCAUUUAGAGCCCAUGUUCUAAACAACAUUAAAACAGCCACAAGAAUUUCCUAAUCCCUCUACAGGUUCAUGUGUCAGGGAAAAUCCCCUACUAGGAUUACAUACAGAAGUUCUAGUUUCUCUCUCCAUCUUUGGACUAGCUUCUCCAGGACUGGACUGAUUAAACCCUACAGAUGUGAUUGCAUCCUCACACUCACUAAUCACCACCACGGAAUCCUAAUCAACAGCCAAAGAACUAACGGAGUGCUCAGAUUGUUAGUACUUAAUUGUCAAAGCCACGACUCUGACUAUUGGUUUCCGUUUUUUAAGAUGGAGAUUUAAACUUUCAAAUUUCAUUUACUUAGGCUAAACUUCUACAUUUCUUUUGAAAUAAAUACUUA